rnacentral:rRNA from 1 species
AUACGGGGGGUGCAAGCGUUAUUCGGAAUCAUUGGGCGUAAAGGGCACGCAGGCGGCCUGGUAAGUCAGAUGUGAAAGCCCGGGGCUUAACCCCGGAAGGGCAUUUGAAACUAUCAGGCUUGAGUAUGGGAGAGGGAAGUGGAAUUCCUGGUGUAGAGGUGAAAUUCGUAGAUAUCAGGAGGAACACCGGUGGCGAAGGCGACUUCCUGGACCAAUACUGACGCUGAGGUGCGAAGGCGUGGGGAGCAAACAGGAUUAGAAACCCCAGUAGUCC